AGACGGGUUCUGAAACCUGGGAUGCGCAAGGAAGCUGACGAGCGGGAGGCCCUCACGGGCCGCACCGCUGGCCGACCCUGAUCUUCUGUGAAGGGUUCGAGUUGGAGCACGCCUGUCGGGACCCGAAAGAUGGUGAACUAUGCCUGAGCGGGGCGAAGCCAGAGAAAACUCUGGUGGAGGCUCGAAGAGAUACUGACGUGCAAAUCGUUCGUCUGACUUGGGUAUAGGGGCGAAAGACUAAUCGAACCAUCUAGUAGCUGGUUCCCUCCGAAGUUUCCCUCAGGAUAGCUGGAGCCCAUUACGAGUUCUAUCAGGUAAAGCCAG
rnacentral:rRNA from 1 species